rnacentral:rRNA from 1 species
AAUCCAUAGGUUAAUGAGGCGAACCGGGGGAACUGAAACAUCUAAGUACCCCGAGGAAAAGAAAUCAACCGAGAUUCCCCCAGUAGCGGCGAGCGAACGGGGAGGAGCCCAGAGCCUGAAUCAGCAUGUGUGUUAGUGGAAGCGUCUGGAAAGGCGCGCGAUACAGGGUGACAGCCCCGUACACAAAAGCGCAUGUGCUGUGAGCUCGAUGAGUAGGGCGGGACACGUGGUAUCCUGUCUGAAUAUGGGGGGACCAUCCUCCAAGGCUAAAUACUCCUGACUGACCGAUAGUGAACCAGUACCGUGAGGGAAAGGCGAAAAGAACCCCGGCGAGGGGAGUGAAAAAGAACCUGAAACCGUGUACGUACAAGCAGUGGGAGCACCCUUUGGGGUGUGACUGCGUACCUUUUGUAUAAUGG